rnacentral:rRNA from 1 species
UACGAAGGGUGCAAACGUUGCUCGGAAUUAUUGGGCGUAAAGCGCACGUAGGCGGCUUAGCAAGUCGAAUGUGAAAGCCCUCGGCUUAACCGAGGAAGUGCAUCCGAAACUGAGUAGCUAGAGUACGAAAGAGGGUCGCGGAAUUCCCGGUGUAGAGGUGAAAUUCGUAGAUAUCGGGAGGAACACCGGUGGCGAAGGCGGCGACCUGGGUCGAGACUGACGCUGAGGCGCGAAAGCGUGGGGAGCAAACAGG